AUGUAAAUCUGCGUCUUCUCACGAUCCGUCGGGGCAGGUAGGGCCACGACACGAAAGACGCGUGGGCUGACUCGCUCAGUG
rnacentral:sRNA from 1 species